rnacentral:tRNA from 1 species
GCCCUUGUAGCUCAGUUUGGAUAGAGCACCUGCCUCCUAAGCAGGGGGUCGCGCGUUCGAAUCGCGCCGGGGGCG